GUCUGUCCAGUCUGUGGUCCAGUAGGUCCUUCCGACAAAUCCUGAAAAGAAAAGCCACUAGGUAGAGGUUAGUGUGUGGCACAGCAGGUGCGCAAGAUAUAUAGGCCCACCGAAUUUUGAAGCUCAAUACACAAAGCUAUCAGAACCGGUUUGUGUUUUUCCUUUGCGCCCUGCCAGCCUCGACAAAUCUUCAAAAUUCGUGGCAACAUGGAAGACAGCGCGACCGAUGGCCACGAGGAAUACAACUGUGUGGCCUGCCAACGGCCAGAUAGUGCGGACAACAUGGUCCAGUGCGACCAGUGCGACGUCUGGAAGCAUUACGCCUGCGCCGAGGUGAAUGAGAGCAUCCGGGAUCGAUCCUUCUUGUGUGGUGAUUGCACCGCGCAUGCCGCACACCAGAGUGAUGACGUCAUAUCGGUCCGAAGUGAAUUCAGCCACACUAGCUCAA